rnacentral:rRNA from 1 species
UACGGGGGGAGCAAGCGUUGUCCGGAAUUAUUGGGCGUAAAGAGCGUGUAGGCGGCCAGGUAGGUCUGCUGUGAAAACUCGAGGCUCAACCUCGAGACGUCGGCGGAAACCAUCUGGCUAGAGUCCGGAAGAGGAGAGUGGAAUUCCUGGUGUAGCGGUGAAAUGCGCAGAUAUCGGGAGGAACACCAAUGGCGAAGGCGGCCUGCUGGGCAGUUACUGACACUGAUGCGCGACAGCGUGGGGAGCAAACAGG